UUAAAUUCUGUGAAUAGGAAAGUACUUUUUAAGGAGCUUUUAGCGAGCAGUAGUUGGUGAAAGUCUGCAGUGAAUUAAAAAGGAAAAGAGCCUUGGAGAAGCUUGAAUAAAAAGGUAUAAUUAAUAUCAUAAACAAGUCGCUAACUGCGUUAAAGUUUUGAGAGGACUUUUUGUCAAUAAGAGUGGUACCGCGGAAUAACCCCGUCUCUGUU
rnacentral:ncRNA from 1 species